UACAACUCAACUGGGAACGCACCGUUUGAAGAGGAUGGAAGACUGAUUGAAGACACACCGUUUUGCUGAGGAUGAAGCACAUCAUUUCAUCAAUUGGAGUUAACCGCAACACACCGUUUCGAGCAACUACUUUAUUCUAGAAUAUUUCAUUUCUGAGUUUGUUAUUUUAUGUCUGAGUCUGUUAUUUUAAGGAACACGUGUCAUCCUUUUUUUUUCAUUAGUUUUCAUCCCUGCAUGGAUAUGUAGUGGAAUGGAAGGAAAGGAAAUCAUCUGAACAUAGACACUGAAAUUG